UUCCCGUAUGAUCACCGAAGUUAAGCAACGUCGAGCCUAGUCUGUACCUCGAUGGGUGACCGCUUGGGAAUACCAGGUGCUGUAAU